GAUGAACGCUGGCGGCGUGCCUAAUACAUGCAAGUCGAGCGAAAAGACGAGGAGAUUGCUCCCCUGCCGUUAGCGGCGGACGGGUGAGUAACACGUGGAUAACCUACUUAUAAGACUGGGAUAACUUCGGGAAAACGGAGAUAAUACCGGAUAAUAUAUUGAACCGCAUGGUUCAAUAGUGAAAGACGGUUUUGCUGUCACUUAUAGAUGGAUCCGCGCCGCAUUAGCUAGUUGGUAAGGUAACGGCUUACCAAGGCAACGAUGCGUAGCCGACCUGAGAGGGUGAUCAGCCACACUGGAACUGAGACACGGUCCAGACUCCUACGGGAGGCAGCAGUAGGGAAUCUUCCGCAAUGGGCGAAAGCCUGACGCAGCAACGCCGCGUGAGUGAUGAAGGUCUUCGGAUCGUAAAACUCUGUUAUUAGGAAAGAACAAAUGUGUAAGUAACUCUGCACGUCUUGACGGUACCUAAACAAAAAGCCACGGCUAACUACGUG
rnacentral:rRNA from 1 species